GACGAACGCUGGCGGCGUGCUUAACACAUGCAAGUCGAGCGAAGUAUUCAAGAUAGAUUUCUUCGGAUUGAAGUCUUGAAUAUCUUAGCGGCGAACGGGUGAGUAACGCGUGAGAAACCUGCCUUUCACAAAGGGAUAGCCUCGGGAAACUGGGAUUAAUACCUUAUGAUACUUACAUUUCACAUGAGAAGUAAGUUAAAGCGCAAAGCGGUGAAAGAUGGUCUCGCGUCCCAUUAGUUAGUUGGUGAGGUAACGGCUCACCAAGA
rnacentral:rRNA from 1 species